rnacentral:tRNA from 1 species
AUCUUUUUAGUAUAAUAAUUAUAUUUGACUUCCAAUCAAAAGACCUUUAUUUAUGUAAAGAAAAGAUA